UUUCUUGGAGAGUUUGAUCCUGGCUCAGGACGAACGCUGGCGGCGUGCCUAAUACAUGCAAGUCGAGCGAAUCAAUAGGAGCUUGCUCCUGUUGGUUAGCGGCGGACGGGUGAGUAACACGUGGGCAACCUGCCUGUAAGACUGGGAUAACUUCGGGAAACCGGAGCU
rnacentral:rRNA from 1 species